rnacentral:sRNA from 1 species
GGGCGAGGGCUAAGUGUGGUUCUGACAUCUCUCACUUCAUCUAUUUCAAGGUUGACCUGGCUGACUAGAUGGGAGUCCCUACCUCCCUCUCCCUUUCAUGUAUGUCCUUCUUGAAGCUACAUAGUUUUUUAAAAAAACAACAAAAGAGAAGCACUUUUCUUUGGUUAGAUACAAGGAUCUGUCCUUCUUGCUAAACUGUCAAACAAGCUCCCUGUGUUAGUGAGGUCUGCACAUAGGAUGAGGCCAGACCAAGAAGUUGGACGACAAAGCAGAUUCCAGGGGCUAGAACUC